GAUGAACGCUGGCGGCGUGCCUAAUACAUGCAAGUCGAGCGAACGGACGAGAAGCUUGCUUCUCUGAUGUUAGCGGCGGACGGGUGAGUAACACGUGGAUAACCUACCUAUAAGACUGGGAUAACUUCGGGAAACCGGAGCUAAUACCGGAUGAUAUUUUGAACCGCAUGGUUCAAAAGUGAAAGACGGUCUUGCUGUCACUUAUAGAUGGAUCCGCGCUGCAUUAGCUAGUUGGUAAGGUAACGGCUUACCAAGGCAACGAUGCAUAGCCGACCUGAGAGGGUGAUCGGCCACACUGGAACUGAGACACGGUCCAGACUCCUACGGGAGGCAGCAGUAGGGAAUCUUCCGCAAUGGGCGAAAGCCUGACGGAGCAACGCCGCGUGAGUGAUUAAGGUCUUCGGAUCGUAAAACUCUGUUAUUAGGGAAGAACAUAUGUGUAAGUAACUGUGCACAUCUUGACGGUACCUAAUCAGAAAGCCACGGCUAACUACGUG
rnacentral:rRNA from 1 species